ensembl:lncRNA
CAAGGAGAAUGCUGAGGUGCUCCAACAUUUUUUGCACUAGUCUUCACUGGCAACCUCUCUUCAAACAGCAUUCGAGUGGAGGAAUUGUAAGAAAACAGAAACAGAAUAAUGAAGUCUUCUGGGAGCUGUAGUUCACUCUUCUCCUCUGAGAGAAGGUACUGAAACUACUGACAAUGCACAGAACUGCAGCAUUAACUUCUAGUACACUAUGUGAUGUAAUGAUAUGGAAUACCAAUCAAAAAAAGUCAUAAAACCACAACAAAGGUGAC